rnacentral:pre_miRNA from 1 species
UCUAUGGAGGAGCAAAGAAAGUGGUUUCUUGAGAUGGAAUCUACCCUUAGUGAAGAUGCAUUGAA